rnacentral:rRNA from 1 species
CCAAUAGCGUAUAUUAAAGUUGUUGCAGUUAAAAAGCUCGUAGUUGAAUUUCGGGAUUAGCAAGUUGGUCGUGCCUUCGGUAUGCACUGGCUUUGCUGAUUCCUCCUUCUUGAAGAACUGUAAUGCUAUUAAUUUAGUGUUGCAGGGAAACAGGACUGUUACUUUGAAAAAAUUAGAGUGUUUAAAGCAGGCUAACGCUUGAAUACAUUAGCAUGGAAUAAUGAAAUAGGACGUUUGAUCCUAUUUUGUUGGUUUCUAGGAUUGACGUAAUGAUUAAUAGGGAUAGUUUGGGGCAUUAGUAUUCAAUUGUCAGAGGUGAAAUUCUUGGAUUUAUUGAAGACUAACUACUGCGAAAGCAUUUGCCAAGGAUGUUUUCAUUAAUCAAGAACGAAAGUUAGGGGAUCGAAGACGAUCAGAUACCGUCGUAGUCUUAACCAUAAACUAUGCCGACUAGGGAUCGGAUGAUGUUAAUUUUUUAAUGACUCAUUCGGCGCCUUACG